rnacentral:rRNA from 1 species
AACGCUGGCGGCAGGCUUAACACAUGCAAGUCGAGCGCCCCGCAAGGGGAGCGGCAGACGGGUGAGUAACGCGUGGGAACGUACCCUUUUCUACGGAAUAACCCAGGGAAACUUGGACUAAUACCGUAUGUGCCCUUCGGGGGAAAGAUUUAUCGGAAAAGGAUCGGCCCGCGUUGGAUUAGCUAGUUGGUGGGGUAAAGGCCUACCAAGGCGACGAUCCAUAGCUGGUCUGAGAGGAUGAUCAGCCACAUUGGGACUGAGACACGGCCCAAACUCCUACGGGAGGCAGCAGUGGGGAAUAUUGGACAAUGGGCGCAAGCCUGAUCCAGCCAUGCCGCGUGAGUGAUGAAGGCCCUAGGGUUGUAAAGCUCUUUCACCGGUGAAGAUAAUGACGGUAACCGGAGAAGAAGCCCCGGCUAACUUCGUGCCAGCAGCCGCGGUAAUACGAAGGGGGCUAGCGUUGUUCGGAUUUACUGGGCGUAAAGCGCACGUAGGCGGAUCGAUCAGUCAGGGGUGAAAUCCCAGAGCUCAACUCUGGAACUGCCUUUGAUACUGUCGAUCUGGAGUAUGGAAGAGGUGAGUGGAAUUCCGAGUGNAGAGGNGAAAUUCGUAGAUAUUCGGAGGAACACCAGUGGCGAAGGCGGCUCACUGGUCCAUUACUGACGCUGAGG